rnacentral:snRNA from 1 species
GCUCUUCGGGGUAUUUGGUCAACUGAAAACAUACAGAGAAGAUUAGCAUAGCCUCUGCCUAAGAAUGACACGCUCAAUCGAAGAGAAGCUACUUGGUUUC